GUGGGCAUGGCGGAAAUUUGAGGUUUUUCUAAGCCCCGCUGAAAUCGAGGGAUGCCUGGCAAGCUUCACUAACCACGGAUGUUCCAGAUCGAGAAUCAAGGAUCUUACCAGGUUGAAGGAAAAAGAGAAAAAUAAAAAGAAAUAUAGGAAGGUACUUUGUAGCUGAGGGUAUGGAAAUGGA
rnacentral:lncRNA from 11 species